CGGAUGCUGACGAGUGGCGAACGGGUGAGGAAUACAUCGGAACGUGCCCCGAGAGUGGGGGAUAACGAAGCGAAAGCUUUGCUAAUACCGCAUACGAUCUCAGGAUGAAAGCAGGGGACCGCAAGGCCUUGCGCUCACGGAGCGGCCGAUGGCAGAUUAGGUAGUUGGUGGGAUAAAAGCUUACCAAGCCGACGAUCUGUAGCUGGUCUGAGAGGACGACCAGCCACACUGGGACUGAGACACGGCCCAGACUCCUACGGGAGGCAGCAGUGGGGAAUUUUGGACAAUGGGCGCAAGCCUGAUCCAGCCAUGCCGCGUGCAGGAUGAAGGCCUUCGGGUUGUAAACUGCUUUUGUACGGAACGAAAAGACUCUGGUUAAUACCUGGGGUCCAUGACGGUACCGUAAGAAUAAGCACCGGCUAACUACGUGCCAGCAGCCGCGGUAAUACGUAGGGUGCGAGCGUUAAUCGGAAUUACUGGGCGUAAAGCGUGCGCAGGCGGUUAUGUAAGACAGAUGUGAAAUCCCCGGGCUCAACCUGGGAACUGCAUUUGUGACUGCAUAGCUAGAGUACGGCAGAGGGGGAUGGAAUUCCGCGUGUAGCAGUGAAAUGCGUAGAUAUGCGGAGGACACCGAUGGCGAAGGCAAUCCCCUGGGCCUGUACUGACGCUCAUGCACGA
rnacentral:rRNA from 1 species